GAGUAGGGCGGGACACGUGGUAUCCUGUCUGAAUAUGGGGGGACCAUCCUCCAAGGCUAAAUACUCCUGACUGACCGAUAGUGAACCAGUACCGUGAGGGAAAGGCGAAAAGAACCCCGGCGAGGGGAGUGAAAAAGAACCUGAAACCGUGUACGUACAAGCAGUGGGAGCCCCACCACUAAGCCAGUGGUGAACUCCACAUCCGCAUCCUUUGCUGAGGAUACGGUUAACGGAGCGAAAGCGACGUUCAACCGCAAAACAAGCAGAGGGGGCUUAGUGGUGGGGUGACUGCGUACCUUUUGUAUAAUGGGUCAGCGACUUAUAUUCUGUAGCAAGGUUAACCGAAUAGGGGAGCCGGAGGGAAACCGAGUCUUAAUUGGGCGUUAAGUUGCAGGGUAUAGACCCGAAACCCGGUGAUCUAGCCAUGGGCAGGUUGAAGGUUGGGUAACACUAACUGGAGGACCGAACCGACUAAUGUUGAAAAAUUAGCGGAUGACCUGUGGCUGGGGGUGAAAGGCCAAUCAAACCGGGAGAUAGCUGGUUCUCCCCGAAAGCUAUUUAGGUAGCGCCUCGUGAAUUCAUCUCCGGGGGUAGAGCACUGUUUCGGCUAGGGGGCCAUCCCGGCUUACCAACCCGAUGCAAACUGCGAAUACCGGAGAAUGUUAUCACGGGAGACACACGGCGGGUGCUAACGUCCGUCGUGAAGAGGGAAACAACCCAGACCGCCAGCUAAGGUCCCAAAGUCAUGGUUAAGUGGGAAACGAUGUGGGAAGGCCCAGACAGCCAGGAUGUUGGCUUAGAAGCAGCCAUCAUUUAAAGAAAGCGUAAUAGCUCACUGGUCGAGUCGGCCUGCGCGGAAGAUGUAACGGGGCUAAACCAUGCACCGAAGCUGCGGCAGCGAACGUAUCACCCAAGACAACUUUACGGAGUUGACGAUUGACGGAGCGAAGCGACGUCAAAGCGUUCAUUAAAGUCGAGUUGGCUUAGGGAUACGUUCGUUGGGUAGGGGAGCGUUCUGUAAGCCUGUGAAGGUGUGUCGUGAGGCAUGCUGGAGGUAUCAGAAGUGCGAAUGCUGACAUAAGUAACGAUAAAGCGGGUGAAAAGCCCGCUCGCCGGAAGACCAAGGGUUCCUGUCCAACGUUAAUCGGGGCAGGGUGAGUCGACCCCUAAGGCGAGGCCGAAAGGCGUAGUCGAUGGGAAACGGGUUAAUAUUCCCGUACUUGGUGUUACUGCGAAGGGGGGACGGAGAAGGCUAUGUUGGCCGGGCGACGGUUGUCCCGGUUUAAGCGUGUAGGUGUGUGUUCCAGGUAAAUCCGGUUCACUUUAACACUGAGGCGUGACGACGAGGCACUACGGUGCUGAAGCAACAAAUGCCCUGCUUCCAGGAAAA
rnacentral:rRNA from 1 species